rnacentral:tRNA from 1 species
GCGCCCGUGGCUCAAUUGGAUAGAGCACUUGGCUACGGACCAAGGGGUUGGGGGUUCGAGUCCCUCUGGGCGCA